GGCACAUAGCAAGUGUUCAAUAAACGCUGGUUCCAUCAAUGGCAGAACUCACACAUCCAGACACACGCCAAACAACAAACCGAGAAACGGAAGGUGAUCAGCAAAGGAAGACAUGCGUGCACACUUCCCCAUUCUAGAUUCAUUAUCAUGGAUCGAAUUGGUUCUCUUCUCUGGGGAACAUCCGGUUAUAAGGAACGGUGACACUGGACACUGCCUCCCAGUGAACCCCAACUGCUUUACGUACUUGGAUUGAGAACACGGAUUGAGAACAUGAAAUAAAAGAAGAAUCUGCUUUAUCAAAACAAUUCCGACGGUACCAGAAGAGCGGCCUGCAGCCCUUCUUUAUUCUGAGAGUUGGGAAGGAUUCCCAUGGCUCCCAUGGCAGAUGAGGUGCCCCAGACCGAACCAGGUCUGGGAGAGUUUUGUUAGAAUGAGAAGGAAGGUGGACUUGUUUUUUAAAAUUCAGCUGAUGUCAUGUUCACUUUGGGACAGCAUUUUGAAAAAUGGGAAGCUUACUUCCCUGAAAAAACCAGAAACUUCCCAGAAAGCCUGGUGUAUCCGGCCUUGUGUUGGAAACAAGCAAACACAGUCCACAGGCUGCAGAAACCUGCUUGUUAAGUGGCGAAAGGAAAAUGCCCUCAGCCAGACAGCCGAAACACAGGAAUGUCGGGCUGGCCGGAGAUCAGAUCCACAAUCGGAAGUGGAGAAGAGACCGAUAAGGCUAUGAAGAGAGCAGCGUCAGUCAGCAAAACUGGUUUCCGAGGCACCAGGGGGCCACCAGACCUCACCAAGGACUUUCUGCUGUAUGCACAAGCACUUGAGAACCAGUGUGGCUUGGAGUUCAACAACUAAGGAGCUCUGGAGACAGCUGGCCUAUGAAUGUGAACUGCUUCAAGAGGUCCUCACCGUGUUCCCUCCAAGGGUAGUAGGUGACUGCUGGGGUCCUGCCCUCCUAGAUCCAGGGUUCUGCAGACACCGCUGUCACACUUGUAAGUGGAGAGCUGAAUCCUCUGCCUGACACGUUUCCCUUGUCAAGUUGUCCCUGUCCCACCCCACCGACAUCGAUCGUCCUGGGAACUGCUUCUGAAGAAACCCUGCGCAGCACUU